rnacentral:rRNA from 1 species
AAUGCAGUCGAGCGGAAGAAGGGAGCUUGCUCCCGGAUGUUAGCGGCGGACGGGUGAGUAACACGUGGGUAACCUGCCUGUAAGACUGGGAUAACUCCGGGAAACCGGAGCUAAUACCGGAUAGUUCCUUGAACCGCAUGGUUCAAGGAUGAAAGACGGUUUCGGCUGUCACUUACAGAUGGACCCGCGGCGCAUUAGCUAGUUGGUGAGGUAACGGCUCACCAAGGCGACGAUGCGUAGCCGACCUGAGAGGGUGAUCGGCCACACUGGGACUGAGACACGGCCCAGACUCCUACGGGAGGCAGCAGUAGGGAAUCUUCCGCAAUGGACGAAAGUCUGACGGAGCAACGCCGCGUGAGUGAUGAAGGUUUUCGGAUCGUAAAGCUCUGUUGUUAGGGAAGAACAAGUGCAAGAGUAACUGCUUGCACCUUGACGGUACCUAACCAGAAAGCCACGGCUAACUACGUGCCAGCAGCCGCGGUAAUACGUAGGUGGCAAGCGUUGUCCGGAAUUAUUGGGCGUAAAGGGCUCGCAGGCGGUUUCUUAAGUCUGAUGUGAAAGCCCCCGGCUCAACCNNGGAGGGCCAUUGGC